rnacentral:lncRNA from 1 species
UUGAGGUGUUGGGAACACUGGGUCUGUAGUCUGUGUUGAGGUGUGGGGAACACUGGGUCUGUCUUACUGUGUUGAGGUGUGGGGAACACUGGGUCUGUAGUCUAUCUUACUGUGUUGAGGUGUGGGGAACACUGGGUCUGUAGUCUGUCUUACUGUGUUGAGGUGUGGGGAACACUGGGUCUGUCUUACUGUGUUGAGGUGUGGGGAACACUGGGUCUGUCUUACUGUGUUGAGGUGUGGGGAACACUGGGUCUGUCUUACUGUGUUGAGGUGUGGGGAACACUGGGUCUGUAGUCUAUCUUACUGUGUUCAGGUGUGGGGAACACUGGGUCUGUAGUCUGUCUUACUGUGUUGAGGUGUGGGGAACACUGGGUCUGUCUUACUGUGUUGAGGUGUGGGGAACACUGGGUCUGUAGUCUAUCUUACUGUGUUCAGGUGUGGGGAACACUGGGUCUGUAGUCUGUCUUACUGUGUUGAGGUGUGGGGAACACUGGGUCUGUCUUACUGUGUUGAGGUUUGGGGAACACUUGGUCUGUAGUCUAUCUUACUGUGUUCAGGUGUGGGGAACACUGGGUCUGUAGUCUGUCUUACUGUGUUGAGGUGUGGGGAACACUGGGUCUGUAGUCUAUCUUACUGUGUUGAGGUGUGGGGAACACUGGGUCUGUAGUCUAUCUUACUGUGUUGAGGUGUGGGGAACACUGGGUCUGUAGUCUGUCUUACUGUGUUGAGGUGUGGGGAACACUGGGUCUGUAGUCUAUCUUACUGUGUUGAGGUGUGGGGAACACUGGGUCUGUAGUCUGUGUUGAGGUGUGGGGAACACUGGGUCUGUAGUCUGUGUUGAGGUGUGGGGAACACUGGGUCUGUAGUCUGUGUUGAGGUGUGGGGAACACUGGGUCUGUAGUCUGUUUUGAGGUUUGGGGAACACCGGGUCUGUAGUCUGUCUUACUGUGUUGAGGUGUGGGGAAAACUGGGUCUGUAGUCUGUCUUACUGUGUUGAGGUGUGGGGAACACUGGGUCUGUCUUACUGUGUUGAGGUGUGGGGAACACUGGGUCUGUCUUACUGUGUUGAGCUGUGGGGAACACUGGGUCUGUCUUACUGUGUUGAGGUGUGGGGAACACUGGGUCUGUAGUCUGUCUUACUGUGUUGAGGUGUGGGGAACACUGGGUCUGUAGUCUGUCUUACUGUGUUGAGGUGUGGGGAACACUGGGUCUGUAGUCUGUGUUGAGGUGUGGGGAACACUGGGUCUGUCUUACUGUGUUGAGGUGUGGGGAACACUGGGUCUGUAGUCUGUCUUACUGUGUUGAGGUGUGGGGAACACUGGGUCUGUCUUACUGUGUUGAGGUGUGGGGAACACUGGGUCUGUAGUCUAUCUUACUGUGUUGAGGUGUGGGGAACACUGGGUCUGUAGUCUGUCUUACUGUGUUGAGGUGUGGGGAACACUGGGUCUGUAGUCUGUGUUGAGGUGUGGGGAACACUGGG